rnacentral:rRNA from 1 species
GAUGAACGCUGGCGGCGUGCCUAAUACAUGCAAGUAGAACGCUGAAGGAAGGAGCUUGCUCUUUCCGGAUGAGUUGCGAACGGGUGAGUAACGCGUAGGUAACCUGCCUGGUAGCGGGGGAUAACUAUUGGAGACGAUAGCUAAUACCGCAUAACAGUAGAUGUUGCAUGACAUCUGCUUGAAAGGUGCAAUUGCACCACUACCAGAUGGACCUGCGUUGUAUUAGCUAGUUGGUGAGGUAACGGCUCACCAAGGCGACGAUACAUAGCCGACCUGAGAGGGUGAUCGGCCACACUGGGACUGAGACACGGCCCAGACUCCUACGGGAGGCAGCAGUAGGGAAUCUUCGGCAAUGGACGGAAGUCUGACCGAGCAACGCCGCGUGAGUGAAGAAGGUUUUCGGAUCGUAAAGCUCUGUUGUAAGAGAAGAACGAGUGUGAGAGUGGAAAGUUCACA